rnacentral:rRNA from 1 species
UACGUAGGUGGCAAGCGUUGUCCGGAAUUAUUGGGCGUAAAGCGCGCGCAGGCGGUUCUUUAAGUCUGAUGUGAAAGCCCACGGCUCAACCGUGGAGGGUCAUUGGAAACUGGGGAACUUGAGUACAGAAGAGGAAAGCGGAAUUCCACGUGUAGCGGUGAAAUGCGUAGAGAUGUGGAGGAACACCAGUGGCGAAGGCGGCUUUCUGGUCCAUAACUGACGCUGAUGCACGAAAGCUAGGGGAGCAAACAGG